UGGGGAAUAUUGCACAAUGGGGGAAACCCUGAUGCAGCGACGCCGCGUGAAGGAAGAAGUAUUCGGUAUGUAAACUUCUAUCAGCAGGGAAGAAAAAUGACGGUACCUGACUAAGAAGCCCCGGCUAACUACGUGCCAC
rnacentral:rRNA from 1 species